rnacentral:rRNA from 1 species
CUUGGUGAUUUUAGCGAUGGUGUCCACCUCUUCCCUUUCCGAACAGAGCAGUUAAGCCUAUCAGCGCAGAUGAUACUUGGGUAACACCUGGGAAAGUAUGUCAUUGCCAAGU